GGAGAUAUGGCCGAGUGGUUAUGGCGCUAGUUUCAGGUACUAGUGGGCAACUGCGUGGGUUCGAAUCCCACUAUCUUCA
rnacentral:tRNA from 1 species